rnacentral:rRNA from 1 species
UACAGAGGUCUCAAGCGUUGUUCGGAUUCAUUGGGCGUAAAGGGCGCGUAGGCGGGCUGCCAAGUCUGGGGUGAAAUCCCACGGCUCAACCGUGGAACUGCCUCGGAUACUGGCGGCCUCGAGGGGGGUAGGGGCGUGCGGAACUGUGGGUGGAGCGGUGAAAUGCGUUGAUAUCCACAGGAACUCCGGUGGCGAAGGCGGCACGCUGGACCUCUUCUGACGCUGAGGCGCGAAAGCCAGGGGAGCAAACGGG